rnacentral:rRNA from 1 species
GCGGCGGACGGGUGAGUAAUGCCUAGGGAUCUGCCCAGUCGAGGGGGAUAACAGUUGGAAACGACUGCUAAUACCGCAUACGCCCUACGGGGGAAAGGAGGGGACCUUCGGGCCUUUCGCGAUUGGAUGAACCUAGGUGGGAUUAGCUAGUUGGUGAGGUAAUGGCUCACCAAGGCGACGAUCCCUAGCUGUUCUGAGAGGAUGAUCAGCCACACUGGGACUGAGACACGGCCCAGACUCCUACGGGAGGCAGCAGUGGGGAAUAUUGCACAAUGGGCGAAAGCCUGAUGCAGCCAUGCCGCGUGUGUGAAGAAGGCCUUCGGGUUGUAAAGCACUUUCAGUAGGGAGGAAAGGGUAUUGCUUAAUACGCAAUAUCUGUGACGUUACCUACAGAAGAAGGACCGGCUAACUCCGUGCCAGCAGCCGCGGUAAUACGGAGGGUCCGAGCGUUAAUCGGAAUUACUGGGCGUAAAGCGUGCGCAGGCGGUUUGUUAAGCCAGAUGUGAAAUCCCCGGGCUCAACCUGGGAAUUGCAUUUGGAACUGGCGAACUAGAGUCUUGUAGAGGGGGGUAGAAUUCCAGGUGUAGCGGUGAAUGCGUAGAGAUCUGGAGGAUACCGGUGGCGAAGCGGCCCCUGGACAAGACUGACGCUCAUGCACGAAAGCGUGGGAGCAAACAGGAUAGAUACCCUGGUAGUCCACGCCGUAACGAUGUCUACUCGGAG